AAUCGCGUGCUUCACUUUAUUUUUCCCAGAACGCUUGCGGUGGUUCACCCUGCAAGAACAAGGGAACUUGUCAAUCUGGUUUUACAAGCAAAAAAUUUCGCUGCUUAUGCACUUUCGGAUUUACAGGCCAUGACUGUGGAAAAGAUAUCGAUGAGUGCUCUCAAGUCAACAACUGCAGUGAAUAUGCUCAUUGUCACAAUACCGCUGGUUCCUAUAGAUGUAGAUGUAGAGAGGGAUAUUUUGGAGACGGAUACACCUGCGAGCCUGAGUUCUCCAUCAAUUCAACGAUACUAUCGGACAAUAAAUCUUACCGCAGCCAUCUCUAUGGGUUUCUAGUUCCAGCCGUUGGAAACGUUUCUCACUGGCUGUUAUGCUUUCGUGCUUCCUCUGGAAAGGCAGAUGCCAGAUUUCACAGGAAAUGUGAUGGAAAAAAUCACACCAUCACUAUCAUAGAAGUGAAUGGUUACAUAUUUGGUGGAUAUGUCGACAUCC